GGUGAACGCUGGCGGCGUGCCUAACACAUGCAAGUCGAGCGGUGCAGUUUGAAGCUUCGGUGGAAAGCUGCAUAGCGGCGGACGGGUGAGGAAAACGUAGGAACGUGCCCCUUGGAGUUGGAUAGCCACGGGAAACUGUGGGUAAACCGACAUAGACUCGAGAGAGUAAAGGCCGAAAGGCGCCAAGGGAGCGGCCUGCGGCCCAUCAGGUAGUUGGUAGUGUAAAGGACUACCAAGCCGACGACGGGUAGCCGGUCUGAGAGGAUGGCCGGCCACAAGGGCACUGAGAGACGGGCCCUACUCCUACGGGAGGGCAGCAGUGGGGGAUUUUGGACAAUGGGCGAAAGCCUGAUCCAGCGACGCCGCGUGGAGGACGAAGCCCUUCGGGGUGUAAACUCCUUUUCUCAGGGAAAAAGGAUGAUGGUACCUGAGGAAUAAGCCCGGCUAACUACGUG
rnacentral:rRNA from 1 species